AGAGUUUGAUCCUGGCUCAGGAUGAACGCUGGCGGCGUGCCUAACACAUGCAAGUCAACGGGGUUAUUUAGGUAAUGUUCCUUCGGGGACAGGAAUCUUAACCUAGUGGCGGACGGGUGAGUAACGCGUGAGCAAUCUGCCUUUAGAGGGGGAUAACAGUCGGAAACGGCUGCUAAUACCGCAUGAUACACUGAGAAGGCAUCUUCUUAGUGUCAAAGAUUUUAUCGCCUUUAGAUGAGCUCGCGUCUGAUUAGCUGGUUGGCGGGGUAACGGCCCACCAAGGCGACGAUCAGUAGCCGGACUGAGAGGUUGAACGGCCACAUUGGGACUGAGACACGGCCCAGACUCCUACGGGAGGCAGCAGUGGGGAAUAUUGCGCAAUGGGGGCAACCCUGACGCAGCAACGCCGCGUGAUUGAAGAAGGCCUUCGGGUUGUAAACUUCUGUCCUCAGGGAAGAUAAUGACGGUACCUGAGGAGGAAGCUCCGGCUAACUACGUGCCAGCAGCCGCGGUAA
rnacentral:rRNA from 1 species